AAGUACGUUUGUAAUAUGUAUGUUAGUCAAGGACCUAAAGAAAAAAUGAAUUAUUAGCGUGUGACUAUGAGAAUUCUGACAUAACACUUCCAAGGACCUGUUACACGAUCAAAAAUCACUUUACUUGAUUAAUGACCUUUUAUUCCGCAGACACACAAAAGAUACAAGCUACCACUAUUCAUAAAUUGUCAUUGCAAUAAUCAGCCCUAUAACAUGAUCAUAAUAAGUCCAGACGAGAAGAAAGAUAUAGAACAUUAACAAAAACUUGAUAUCCAUAUGAGGUAUGCUUAAGCAUCUAUUUCAGAAUAUAUCUGUGCUUUGCUGAGAAUAAAAUAGCAAUCAUCCUCAGGGAACAGCACUUACAAGGCAGUUCUUCAUUUAGGUUUAAGUUCGUCAAAAAGUUGCCUUGGACACAUUAGGCUAGUGAUGUUACACCCAGAUUUUGUACUUCUCUGCCCAAGAAAAACGUUAGGAAAGAAAAGGCUGCAAAAUAUUUUAUCUUAUGUGUAAAUGCAGAUGGUUGACCUCCCUUUUUUUGGGUACUUCACGAACAGAGAACAGACCAAUAAGCAAUAAACGCAAAAUCUUAGAGUGACAUCCAAAUAGAAAACCUAAGAAAAUUUUAAGAGAAACAUCUAAAUUGUAAACAAGUAAACCUCAACAGCAUCCCCUACUACUCCCUCCAUCUCAAAACACAAUUUUUCCGUAAUUCCCAGACACUAAUAUUGGUUAAGCUAGAGAAAUUUGAACACAAAAUUUCAAAUUAUAUUCAAAGUUCUAACCUUCUCAAAGAACCUAUAUAAUUAAAAAGUAUAUAAAGUAAAUGUAAAUUUCAAUUUUAAAUACUUUUAAAGAUGUAACCCUCUUAAAAUACCCAAUAAAUUAGAAAAUUACUAUAACUAUUACUACAAACUAGUAUAUGCUCUCAUAUAUAAACACACACUAUAUAACUAGGAAGUUGUGCUUCUUCACCAAGAAAAAAAUAAUAGUGAGUUUUGAUGAUCGUUUAAGGGAAUCAGCAAGAUUUUGGUAUACUUCUUGGAUACGGAUAAGGGAGUUUUCUCCUUUUGAUUAAUACAAUUUACCUUAUUAACAAAAAGGGAAUCAACAAGAAAUAUAAGAAAUCAACGAAAUAUGAAAUUUUUCAAAAAAUGACCUGAUAAUUAUUAUUCUACAGAAUACAUUAGUAAAAGGACAACACUACCAUUAGUUAUCAUUGAAUAGAAUCACUGAAAUGAUAAGCCCAAAAAGCUCCAUAUUUCUCAUAGGAAAGUCAAUUUCCCAAGUUAAUCAUCUAAGAGAAAAAAAUAAACAAAUGAAUGUCGACCAUUUGAUAGGAAUACAACAGAUUUGCUAAUCGGGAAAAAGGGAAAGCGCAUGUAUGCAGCUGAAAAAGAACCUUACGAUGGAAGCGCAAGAGAAAAAAGGCUGUCUUUUUCCUAGCAAAAAUAAAAAAUCACACUUGCUCUUCUCCAAUUCCACCAUUUUCCCUGACCCAUGUGAAAAUUGGGAAACUAAAUCCCAAAAAUUGGGAAAGGACAAAAGGGGUUGGUGUGAUGACCCAUCCAUCGAGAGGUUGUAAGUUUGAGUCUCCCCGAAAGAUGGAAAGUUUUUGAAAGGAAGAAUAUUGGAUCUAUUUGAAAAUAGAACCUCCCACACCGUAAUAAGUACUAUCAUCCCACACCGUACUAAGUAGUAUUAUACUGGGUUGUUGUUGUAAAUCCAAGUAUCAGGUGAUACAAGUGGAGCUCCACAAGAAUCUCGAAAAGAAUUGUCGAAAAUGUUUUUAUUAACUAAACAAAAAACAUCGGGUUUGAGUUAUGAUUGAGGGAGUUGAAGUACGGCAUAAGCUCAAUUAACCAACAGUACGAAGAUUUAAAAUUUCACCUGGGUUUAGGGUUUUGUAUUAGC
rnacentral:lncRNA from 1 species